rnacentral:lncRNA from 1 species
GCAAACACAGAGAGUUUUGUCCAAGGCCACCUUGGUCCCCACCUGUCCAGGUUGGGAGGUGCCCUGCCUGGUGUGGCCUGAGCUGAGCGCCUCUGGCCGGAGCAGACGGCCCCGGCUCCCCCAGGACAUGUCACCUGGAGAGGUGGCCCUUUCAGGACUUGCUGUGCUCAGAUCCUCCAUUCAAGAGAGCUACAGACACGGGGGUGCUGGUGAGCAGGAGCCGAGACCAUCUGGGGUGGGACCGACCAAGAGUUUGAGGUGUCCAGGGGGUGACGUGAAGAUGACCUAUUGCAGAGGGUCCCUUCUCAUUCACGCUCUGAAGUCUGCACAGGGGCAGGGGCUACCGUGCUCCAUUUCAGUUUGGCCUCUGUUGUAUCAGCCAGAGGCCAGCAGAACUCUAUGGUCACUCCCCCGUGUCACGGACAAUUUGCCACCUCCACCGGCAGCCCAGGGCUCUGCCUGAAUAUUCUCGCCUGAUCGUAGGAUUGUGGGGAGGGAUAUUCUCAUUGAUCUCUAAGGAAAAUAUUGUUCGCUUUUUAAAAACAUGAUCUGGUACCAUUUCAUUGAUCUCUUUAAGGAAGAAAAAUCACAUGGUUGUCAUGAGCAUGUACCGACAGAGCUAGGAGGGCCAGCUGUUCCGGGUUGCCCAGGGCUGUCUUGUUUUUAAAAUGGAAAGUUCGAUGUCCUGGAAAACCCCUCAGUCCUGGGCAAACCAGGUCACGCUGGAUAGAAGGAGUUAGACAUUCAUAUGAUGUGCCGAUGUCUUGCCAGUUGUAGAGUUUUGUGUAAACCUGUGUGUGGCCUGCGUGUCCACAUGGGUGUGUAGGAUGGCACCUACACACAUACCUGAGGUCACCUCUUGGUCCAGUGAGCCAGAAUCCUGGGACUUCAUCAUCUUUUUUUUUUUUUUUUUUGAGAUGGAAUCUCACUCUGUCACCCAGGCUGGAGGGCAGUGGCGCAAUCUUGGCUCACUGCAACCUCCGCCUCUGGGGCUCAAGCAAUUCUCCUGCCUCAGCCUCCCGAGUAGCUGGGAUUAUAGGCGUGUGCCACCACGCCCUGCUGAUUUUUGUAUUUUUUAGUAGAGAUGGUGUUUCACUAUAUUGGCCAGGCUGGUCUUGAACUCCUGACCUCAAGUGAUCUGCCUGCCUUGGCCUCCCGAAAUGCUGGGGUUACAGGCAUGAGCUACCAUGCCCGGCCUCAGAAUCCUGGGACUUCUGCUGGAGCCAGGGGUCAGAACAGACUCCUCUACUGGGACUGCCUGGCAGGGAGGACAGACGCUCAAGGCGGCCCCAUGAGAACACAGCCACCUGGAAAAAUGGUGGAAGGGAAGAUUCUGCCAACCUCCUCCGACUCCCUAUCUCAGUUACACUGGUCCAUAAUUUCUUUUCUUUUUCUUAAGUCUGUUUCAUUGGUUUCUGUUCCUGGAAAAUGGACACAAUUCUGAUGAAUUCAUGUAUUCUGCAUCCACGUGUCAGCAUCUCCAGCCUUGUGACGCAGUGCCUGGCUCAGAACAGGCAAUCAGGCCAUGGCAUCUGAAUGAAUGAGAGGGUGUGCCCUGGCCGUAUCUCAGGCAGCAGAUGCAUUCAGCUGCAGGUAACAGACACGUAGACAAACAGUGGCUUAAAAAAGAGAGGCUUUAAAAGUAUUUUGUUUUUCUUUCUUCACGUAGCAAGAAGUCUGGCAUUUGGCAUUCCCAGGCUGUGGCGUGACAGCUUUGUGAAGUUAUCAGGGUCUCAGACCCUGACAUAUUUCUGCUCUGCUACCCUCAGCAUGUAGAUUUGAUCUUCACGGCUACAAGAAACCUGCUGCUACUGCAGGCAUCUUACACGAGUUCCAGGCAGGAAGAGAAAGGAAAGGGUGACAGAGACAGAAAGCAAUGUCCCCAGAUACCCUUAGUUUUCCAUCUCAUAAGCCAGAAUGAUGUCACGUGGCAUCCCUGGAUGCACAGGAGGCUGAGAGAUAGUGGCGUUUGUUAGCUGGUCUCCUAGCCAUCCUGAAUGCCAAGUUUGUUAUAAAGAAACAGAGGCAAAAUGGCGAUCAGGCAGGCAACUGGGUGGUCUCUGCCACGGGCCCCUUGGCCAUUCUUUGUAAUGAUGGUCUUUGUCUUGGACCCUAUUUUGGAUAUUUGGGCACCUUUGUGGUACCCUUAUGUGCUGGUUUUGCUGUUGUCUGCCCUUCAGGAAUAGCAGCUGAGUCAAGCUGUCCUUGGCUGCUCCAAUCUGGAGUCAGAGGUUGGAGAUUUCCAUGGCUCCCCAUGGCUCCUUGGGGCCUCCUAAGAAAAUGUUUUAAUAAGGAAGUCCAAGGCUGAGACAGACAUGCUCCUUCUUAGAGACACAUGGGAACAUGCCUCUGCUCACAGCUGGUAGCCACAGAUGUAAACCGUAGCCCAUGGAACGGAGACAGUGAAGAAUUGAUGGAUAAAUGAAUAAUGAUGAUGGACAGCAGAUGUAUAAAAGGCAUAAAAGGAUAGUGUUAGGGCUGGAAUGUCUUCCCCCCAAUUCAUAUGUUGAACCUUUAAUGCCUAAUACUUCAGAAAGAGACUGUGUUUGAAGAUAUGGUCUUUACAGAGGGAAUAAAGUUAAAAUAAGGUCAUUAGGGUGAGCCCUAAUCCAAAGGAUGGGUGUCCUAAUCAGAGGAGGAGAUUAGGACCCAGACACACACACACACACAGAGCCAGGUGAGGACACAGGGAGAAAAUGGCCACGUACAAGCCAAGAUGAGAGGACUCAGGAAGAACCAGCCGACUCCACCCUUCAAAACUGUGAGAACAUAGAUGUCUGCUGUUUGAGCCACCCUGUCUGCAAGCAGUCAGCAAGCAUUCAUUGAGUGCUUGCAGUAUUCAAGGCACCACAGAUACAAUGUUGAAUAAGGCAAAGCACCUGCCCUCAGGUAGCUUGCAGUCAGGGAGGUAAGGGUAGUGGGCAGAGAGACCUGGAAACAGAUAUUAGACCUGCACUAAGCAUGUGUGGUUAUUGAACAGUAAAAAUGCCACCACAAAUUGCGAUAUGAUGUAAGUAAAAUGCGUACUGGCUAUUGAAGACUUGGCACAGAAAAAUAAUGUAAAAUCUCAUUAGUAAUGGUUUUAUAUUGAUUACGCAUUGAAAUAAUACUAUUUUGGACAGAUUGGGUUAAAUAAAAUAUUAAAUUUGAUUUCGCCUGUUUCUUUUAUUUUCAUUACUUAUUGGCCAUGAUAUUUUAUUUAACUUUUAACUUUUAUUUUAGAUUCAGUGGUACAUGUGCAUGUUUGUUAUACAGGUAAACUCAUGGGGGUUUGGUGUACAGAUUCUUUGUCACCUGAGUACUAAACUUAGUACCCAAGAAUUAUUUUAUCUGAUCCUCUCCCUCCUCCCACCUUCCACCCUCAAGUAGGCCCCAGUGUUUGUUGUUCCCCUUUAUGUGACCAUGUGUUCUCACAAGUGAGAACAUGUGGUAUUUGGUUGUCUGUUCCUGUGUUAGUUUGCUAUGGACAAUGGCCUCCAGCUCCACCCAUGUUCCUGCAAAGGACAUGAUCUUAUUCUUUUUUAUGGCUGAAUAGUAUCCCAUGGUGUAUAUGUACCACUUUUUCCUUAUCCAGUCUACCAUUGAUGGGCAUUUAGGUUGAUUCACCUAUUCCUUUUAAUAGGUCUUAAUAUGGCUAGUAGGAAAUUUAAAAUCACAUAGGUAGCUUAUAUUAUUUUUGUUAUGGACAGUGCUGUGCUGGACCUUCAUAAUGCAGUAAAAGGGUGGCGGGUGAAUGCAUGGUGUGUUACAGGAACGCAGGAGGGAGCUUCUUGGAGGAGGUUCUUAGUCCAUUUAUGCCUGAGGUUGCCGUUUUUUAAAUUUUUGCAAUCAGACCUUGGUGAUGACCUUGAGCAGUAGGAUAUAUAAAUAACUCCCACAUGCUCAGCAUUCCAAUAAUGGAACACUAGGCAUAAAUGGGUUGAGUGAUAAUGUUUGGACUGCAAACCAGAACCUAUGAGAUGCAGCUAAAGCAAUUCUUGAAGGGAAAGUUAUAGCCUUAAAUAUUCAUAUUAACCAAUAGAAAGAAUGAAAACAUAUGGAUUAGGCAUAUGGCUCAAUAUAUUGAACAUAAUAGAAAAAACUAAGAAAAACAGAAGGAAGAAAUAAAGAUAAGAGAGGAAAUAUAUGCAUUAAGAAGCAAUAGAAUUAACAAAUGUACCCAAGUGCCAGAUUUUUCAGGGGCAUAAAAAAGGAUGCUGUUAGUCAAUCCUAUCAAGAAAAAAGAAGAAAACAUAAAUGAAAUAAAAGUCUAUGGGGAAAACAACCGCAGAGACAUAAAAUGGCAAAUAACCACAGGAAACUGGCACUGGGAUACAUAAAAGAUUUUGAGACUUUGAAAACAUAGAAAAUAUAAUUUAUUUUAAAAAAGACUCCAAAAGAGAUGUAAAGUCUAAACAAAUUGAUUACCAUAGAAGAAAUAGAAAGUUGUCAAAGUCGACUUUCCUUAAAAAAAAAAAAAAAAAGCAUCAGGCCUAGAAUGUUUUAUAGGAGGAUCCAACCACACCAAAAACGAACAGGUAAUUAAACACUAUUUAAACUGUUCUAAAGCAUAAAAGAAGGAAUAUUUUUAACUUCUUUUUAUGUAACAAGCAUAUCAUUGAUGCCAAGAUCCAUCAUAGAUGGCAUGGAAAGAGAAAACACACACCAGUGUUGUUUGGGAACAUUGAUGUAAAAAUAUUAAGUCCCUGAAUUAAGCAGCACAUUAGGGGAGUAAAUCAUUGCAACAACUGAGCGGAAUGGAUUCCAGAAAUGCAAGGAUGGUUGGGUAUUAGAAAAACAAUUAGAAAAGAGGAAGAAAUCAGAGGUGCAAACACUGGGAAGGAAAAUCAUUAUUUACAGAGAGAUGGAUGAUUUUCUUGGAAAAUGGAAGAGAGUCAACCAGAAGCAAUUGCAAAUGCUAAUACCAGAAUUCAGUCAAGUGAGUGGGUCUAGAUCAAUACAGAGAAACCAUACACACAGCAAUCCACUAGAUGAGAAGCAUGAAAGACCCCAUUUAUAAGAGCAACAUAAAGAGCAGAAACAUGGUUGGCCACUGUGGGUGAUCAAGUUAGGGCUCACAGUGAUUUCCUUUAGUCUGUUUUCAUGUGCAAUCGCCAUGGGUGCUGUAGACAAGAUUUAUUAUGGACACGAGACCCUGACAGUGUCGAGGCUGGUGGAGAAGCCCACACAAAGCUGGUGUUUGGCCUGGGGGCCCAGGUGACCUGCAGGGGAAGCUGGUGGCUUUGCCAUGUUGCUGAGACUAGGAGGCCUAGAUAAGCUAGAGGAACAGCCUCGUUGGAGGGGCUGUGGCCGGGGACCACUGUGGGCUGGGGACUCCACUUGGACUGUCAGAGCACAGAAGCUGACUCUCCUUCCCCACGGCUGCCAAGUCCUGUGCUCCUGGACCUGUCACUACCGUGGAGCCAAGAAGACACAGAAAAAAGCCAUCACAUUUUUUGCGGGUGGCGAUGGUGGGUGCCUCCAUAUAGGGUGAGUACUUGGGGUGGAGGGGUUCCCUGGGCCAUGGGACUUUCAACACUAAAAUGGGGAGGGUCGUGGCCACAUUGGGAUGGCUGGUCAUCCUGUUUAUAGGACAGGAUGUAGUAAAGUGUAGUAAAGAAUCUGACCCAAAGAGAAGUCUAGUCUUUGUCCUUGGUUCCUGGGAGGGGAUCUCCAGGCCCUCGGGAUGUCCUGCUUGAGAAGAGCAUCUUUGUUUGCCUGUCAUGAGGGGACAUUUGGGUCACGUGGUCUCCUUUUGACCUCUGGAGGGGCAGAAAACUAAAGGUCAGUCACUUGGGCAUCAGUGCAUCAUGCCCACGUGAUCGUGAUCAAGCCCCAGUAAAAACUCUGGACACCAAGGCUCCGGGGACAUCUGCUUGGCAAUACUCGACGCAUCUCAUCACGCACCAUUGCUGGGAGGAAUUCAUGCGGUCCAUAACUCCACUGGGAGAAGGAGAUUGGAACUUCCUUGCACUCUGCCCCAUGCAUGCCUUCCCUUGGCUGAUUUUAAUCCUUUCACUGUAAUAAACCAUAACUGUAACCAUUACAACUUUCAGUGGGUUGUUGAAAUGGAGGAUGAUGAACUUGAGGACCCCUGAACUUCCAAUUGCUGUCAGAAGUGAGGGUGGUCCUGGGGACUGUUUCCUAAUUUCUGCAUCUUCGUUCUCUGUUUCUCCUUCUCUUUCUCCUCCUCUUCCUUGAAAACUGCAGAAGGAUAUACCAUGAGCAAGGAUUCUGCCUACCCCAAGUCAUCUCAUCUCCCUCCAUCAAUGCAGCCCGAGCUGCCUGUUUCUUGUGUCUCAUCCAGAGAUAUCCCGUGUGCUUCCAGGCAAAUGCAAAUGUCUUCUCCCACCAACCUCAUUUUCUCCC